rnacentral:rRNA from 1 species
GCAUAAUCAAUAGUUUUUUAAUUGAAAGCUGGAAUGAAUGGUAGUUACUAAAGAGGAUGUUUUAUUAAAAAAUUUUUGAAUUUAAAUUAAAAGUAAAAAUGCUUUUAUUAACCCUUGGGACGAGAAGACCCUAGAAGCUUUUUUAAAAUUAUAGAAUUUUUAAAUUGGGGCAAUUUUAUGAAGAUAUAGAUUUUUAUUAAUAGAAAAUAGGGUAUUAGCUAAGUUACUCUAGGGAUAACAGCGUUAUUUAAUUAACAAGUUCUUAUUAAUAAUUAAGAUUGCGACCUCGAUGUUGAAUUAAUA